UAGGAGCACAAUAGAAUUUUCUUUUAAAAAUAAUAAAACAUUUACCGCUUUUAUGAAGACGGUAUACGAUUAACCAUCUUUUCAAUUUUCUAUAAAAAUAGUGAAUGAUUUACUGUCUUUUACUGUUUCUCUCUAUUUCUCAUAUAUAAUUCUAAAAAUUAUAUAAAAAUUUCAACAAAUCACAUAUAAUCUUAAUAAUCUAAUAAAUUCUAAUACUCUAUUCAUACAAUAUUAACAAUCAAUGAGAAAUUCUAAUAAUUCUCAUAUAAUCCUAAUAAUCUUAGUUUUUUUUAUUUUUCAUAUAUAAUUUUAACAAAUAAUAUGAAAAUUUUAAAAAAUCACAUACAAUCUUAACAACCUAAAAUCCUAACAAAUAAUUUUCAAGAAAGUGGUGAAUGAUUCACCGCUUUAUAUGAAAUUAUGAACGCUUCACUGUUUUUUUAAAAAAAAUUUAUUCCCACACUGACUU
rnacentral:lncRNA from 1 species